rnacentral:rRNA from 1 species
UACGUAGGGCGCGAGCGUUGUCCGGAUUUAUUGGGCGUAAAGAGCUCGUAGGCGGCUUGUCGCGUCGUCCGUGAAAACCUGGGGCUCAACCCCAGGCUUGCGGUCGAUACGGGCAGGCUAGAGUUCGGUAGGGGAGACUGGAAUUCCUGGUGUAGCGGUGAAAUGCGCAGAUAUCAGGAGGAACACCGGUGGCGAAGGCGGGUCUCUGGGCCGAUACUGACGCUGAGGAGCGAAAGCGUGGGGAGCGAACAGG